rnacentral:snRNA from 1 species
UUUAAUUUCUUGUAUGUUCAUAUUAGAGUGAAGUUGAAUGAUUUGAAAAAUUGCUGAUUUGAUGAAAAUGCACAUAACCAUUUCAUAACAAAUAAAUUACUUGCUCAUCAUGGUUUCAUCACAGGGCUUACCAAAAGAAAAAAUAUGUAUUUCUCUUUUGGCCAGUAUCAUCUUUUCCUUUCAUCAUUCUUUCAUACUGAUGAGUGGAAAGAUGAAUCAAAUAGGCAUUGACAAUCAAUCUGUUAUAUAUACUUUUCAUCAUUUCAUCAAAAUAAUGA